rnacentral:rRNA from 1 species
AUUGAACGCUGGCGGCAGGCCUAACACAUGCAAGUCGAACGAGUGGCGGACGGGUGAGUAAUGUCUGGGCAACUGCCUGAUGGAGGGGGAUAACUACUGGAAACGGUAGCUAAUACCGCAUACCAUCAGAUGUGCCCAGAUGGGAUUAGCUAGUUGGUGGGGUAAAGGCUCACCAAGGCGACGAUCCCUAGCUGGACUGAGAGGAUGACCAGCCACACUGGAACUGAGACACGGCCCAGAAUCCUACGUGAGGCAGCAGUGGGGAAUAUUGCACAAUGGGCGCAAGCCUGAUACAGCCAUGCCGCGUGUAUGAAGAAGGCCUUCGGGUUGUAAAGUACUGUCAGCGGGGAGGCGUUACCCGCAGAAGAAGCACCGGCUAACUCCGUGCCAGCAGCCGCGGUAAUAC